GACGAACGCUGGCGGCGUGCCUAACACAUGCAAGUCGAACGGAGAAUUAAAGCUCGCUUUGAUUCUUAGUGGCGGACGGGUGAGUAAUGCGUGAGCAACCUGCCUAUUAGAGGGGGAUAACGUUCGGAAACGAAUGCUAAUACCGCAUAUAGUACAUAAUUCGCAUGGAUAGAUGUAUGAAAGGAGAGAUCCGCUGAUAGAUGGGCUCACGUCCGAUUAGUUAGUUGGUGAGGUAACGGCUCACCAAGACUGCGAUCGGUAGCCGGGCUGAGAGGCUGAACGGCCACAUUGGGACUGAGAUACGGCCCAGACUCCUACGGGAGGCAGCAGUGAGGGAUAUUGCACAAUGGGGGAAACCCUGAUGCAGCAACGCCGCGUGAGGGAAGAAGGUUUUCGGAUUGUAAACCUCUGUCCUUAGGGAAGAACAAGAUGACGGUACCUAAGGAGGAAGCUCCGGCUAACUACGUGCCAGCAGCCGCGGUAAUACGUAGGGAGCGAGCGUUAUCCGGAAUUAUUGGGUGUAAAGGGUGCGUAGGCGGCUAUGUAAGUCAGGCGUGUAAUUCAGAGGCUUAACCUCUUGAUUGCGCUUGAAACUGUGUAGCUUGAGUGGAGUAGAGGCAGAUGGAAUUUCCAGUGUAGCGGUGAAAUGCGUAGAUAUUGGAAGGAACAUCGGUGGCGAAGGCGAUCUGCUGGGCUCUAACUGACGCUGAGGCACGAAAGCAUGGGGAGCAAACAGGAUUAGAUACCCUGGUAGUCCAUGCUGUAAACGAUGAUUACUAGGUGUGGGGGGACUGACCCCUUCCGUGCCGGAGUUAACACAAUAAGUAAUCCACCUGGGGAGUACGAUCGCAAGGUUGAAACUCAAAGGAAUUGACGGGGGCCCGCACAAGCAGUGGAGUAUGUGGUUUAAUUCGAAGAUACGCGAAAAACCUUACCAGGUCUUGACAUCCAACUAACGAAGUAGAGAUACAUUAGGUGCCCUUCGGGGAAAGUUGAGACAGGUGGUGCAUGGUUGUCGUCAGCCCGUGUCGUGAGAUGUUGGGUUAAGUCCCGCAACGAGCGCAACCCCUACGGUUAGUUGCUACGCAAGAGCACUCUAACAGGACUGCCGUUGAUAAAACGGAGGAAGGUGGGGAUGACGUCAAAUCAUCAUGCCCCUUAUGACCUGGGCUACACACGUACUACAAUGGCCGUUAACAGAGGGAUACGAAUGGAGUGAAUCCGGAGUCAGACCCUAAAAGCGGUCUCAGUUCAGAUUACGGGCUGCAACUCGCCUGUAUGAAGUCGGAAUUGCUAGUGAAUGCGGAUCAGCGAUGCUGCGGUAAAUACGUUCCCGGGCC
rnacentral:rRNA from 1 species